CUUGACCUCUGUACCCCUGGUCUCCAAAAUGGCUAGUAUUACAAGCGAAUAAGUUUCGAGUCCUGCUGCCCAAGACAAAGUUCUCAUUGCGAACAAAUCCCAUCACUCAAGAGCCUGCCAUCCAAAGGCUUGCAAAAUUUGAUCAUCUUUACAAAUGGUAGCAAGAAAGGCAUGAAAACUCUAAUAGAACAUUCACCUUGCAUGAUAGACCACCCUAUGCAAAUGGUGAUCCCCACAUGGGUCAUAUACUGAACAAGGUGCUCAAGGACUUCAUUAACCGAUACAAACUAAUGCGAGGUUACAGAGUCAACUAUCGUCCCGGCUGGGAUUGCCACGGUCUGCCCAUAGAACUGAAAGCUUGUAAAAAUCUGGACGUGAAGGAGCUCUCCUCUUAAGAUACGCACAAAAGCUGCUCAGUUUGCCAAAAAGACGAUUAACAUUCAGAGAGAAGCGUUCAAGCACUGGGGUUGCCUUGGUGAUUGUACUUGCAGUGCAUACUCCAGCCUCUCCUUUGCUAUACAAGGAUUCCUACAAGAGGGGGAUGAGGUGAUUCUUAUUGAGCCGUUUUUCGAUUGCUACUAUCCCAUGGCCAAGCAAAAUGGAGCCACAGUGAAGUACGUCCCUCUCAGGCCAAGAGGUAAGUACCCCGGCAUGUCCAAGGACUGGGCAGUGGACAUACAAGAGUUGGAGGCGGCAGUCAGCAAGAACACCAAGAUGCUCGUGAUCAACACCCCCAACAACCCGUUUGGAAAGGUAUGCAUCAAGGUAAUUAUGGUCUGGAUCAGAGCUUAUCGUUUGCUACUUGUUUAACGUUAUUAUAGUACAGGAGGGUCUUGUUGGUGUGCAGUUGGUUGUGAGUUCUUGUGAGUUCUCUUAUAGUGAUGACCUCAGUUCAUUACAAUUGACCUGGAAAGUGUCUAGUUUCAGAGGUUAUUGACCCCUCCCCCUGUCGGCCUCGAUGAAAAAAACAAACUGCAAUUACUGGAAACUAAUUCAUGCAAUAAUUAUGGCUGUUUUUUGCUACAAUUAUUUGUUACAAUCAUGCAUAUUUUAUCAUCAUUAAUUUAACCACAGAAUAUAAUAAUAUAUUUUAUUAAUCAUUGGGAAAAGUUACAGCA